CGCAAGGGGAGCGGCAGACGGGUGAGUAACGCGUGGGAACGUACCCUUUGCUACGGAAUAGCUCCGGGAAACUGGAAUUAAUACCGUAUGUGCCCUACGGGGGAAAGAUUUAUCGGCAAAGGAUCGGCCCGCGUUGGAUUAGCUAGUUGGUGGGGUAAUGGCCUACCAAGGCGACGAUCCAUAGCUGGUCUGAGAGGAUGAUCAGCCACAUUGGGACUGAGACACGGCCCAAACUCCUACGGGAGGCAGCAGUGGGGAAUAUUGGACAAUGGGCGCAAGCCUGAUCCAGCCAUGCCGCGUGAGUGAUGAAGGCCUUAGGGUUGUAAAGCUCUUUCACCGGAGAAGAUAAUGACGGUAUCCGGAGAAGAAGCCCCGGCUAACUUCGUGCCAGCAGCCGCGGUAAUACGAAGGGGGCUAGCGUUGUUCGGAAUUACUGGGCGUAAAGCGCACGUAGGCGGGCAUUUAAGUCAGGGGUGAAAUCCCAGAGCUCAACUCUGGAACUGCCUUUGAUACUGGGUGUCUUGAGUAUGGAAGAGGUGAGUGGAAUUCCGAGUGUAGAGGUGAAAUUCG
rnacentral:rRNA from 1 species